CACGUAGGGCGCAAGCGUUGUCCGGAAUUAUUGGGCGUAAAGAGCUCGUAGGCGGUCUGUUGCGUCCGCUGUGAAAACUCGGGGCUUAACCCCGAGCCUGCAGUGGAUACGGGCAGGCUAGAGUUCGGUAGGGGAGUCUGGAAUUCCUGGUGUAGCGGUGAAAUGCGCAGAUAUCAGGAGGAACACCGGUGGCGAAGGCGGGACUCUGGGCCGAUACUGACGCUGAGGAGCGAAAGCGUGGGGAGCAAACAGG
rnacentral:rRNA from 1 species